UCGAAAGCCGCAUGCGCGCCCACAGAAGCAGGGGCGGGGAAAGCAGAAGCAAGGCUCUUCCUAAUUGGCCGGCUUGGUUUGCCCCGCCCUCUAUUCCUCUAUCGGGACGGUUUCCUUUUUCUUUCAAAGUGUCGGUACGUUGUUUGGCGGCUGGCCUAGGGAUUCCGCGCGCGCAGGGAGGAUCCUGGAGAAGCCUCCAACUCCCAGAAGCCCCAGCCAGCUCGUUCAAUGGACAUCAAGCAUCUGAAAUUUCUGCUACAAGUCUUGGACUCCUGAUUUCAAUUUAAUGACUUCAUAAAUCCAUCACCAUAUGCCUUGCCAUUGCUUCCAUGAACACUUAAUGUGAGAAGACUGGUACUUCUGUUUUAAGCCUCAAGAUUUGGACAUCGUGGAAAAUAGACGACUACAUCUAUAUAAAUACCAGCUGGAAAUUUUAAUUACUGCCCCUGUCAUUUCCAUGUGUUCAUACUAUUUAAUGAAAUUGGAUGUUUUAUUAUGCAUGGAGAGACACAAAUGGGUUUUGGAGGCAACAGCAUUUAUGCUUUUAAAUGACUAUCCCAAGAAAGCAUAUUUUCCUGAUUCACAAUAACUCCUCAUUGCAGACAGAGAUGUAACAAGCUACUCUCUACAAUAGCUACGUUUCCAUUAUUGCACUUGUAUAGUAAGAUAGAAUGACUUUUAGGACUUAAUAGCACUCUGCAAUGGUAUAAAGAAAAUAUAAAAUUAACUCCUAAUCUGUAAAGUACAUGAAAUCUGAAGUAUUCAGUCACAAAACGUGAUGAGUUUUGUUUAGAGUGUUCAUUAUUAUUUAUUAUAUGAAUGGUCCACAUUAAUGUGCAAAUUGGUAGAAUGGCAUUUAUUUCUUUUGUUAGCCUAUGAAGAUUUAGAUUGCUAGUUACCCUUGAAUGAAUUAUUUGAAAUUUUAAAAUGACCUUUUAGACAUUUUCUAUGAAAUGAAUUUGUUUAUUAAAAGAGCUUGAUUUUUUUCUAUAAUCAAAUCUUUGGAAGGAAAACAUGUCUGGAGCCUCUCAAAUUCAUAUUUUUGUUGGUGCACCCAUCAUCCCAACUUUAUUAAAGAAGCCCAAAGAAGAUAGAUCUUCAACAGAUACUUUUGAAAAAUGGAAAAAACUCUAUCUUUCAUUUACCAAAGACACUUCUUUGCUUUGUGCGAAAAAAGACAGAUGUCCAGAUCAUGCAGACCAUCAGAUGCCAAAAAGUGAAGCAUUGACUGCCUGCUUUAAAGAUGAAUUCACACCAAACUUUGGUGGAAAAAGUGAGAUAGCAAAUUUGACAGACUGUGCAGUUUAUUCUCAAAGUAUAAAAUCCUUUAGCAAUACAAAUGAGAUAGGUGAGUCAACUGGCAUCAUUUGUCAUGUCUCUGGAGAUGUAAAUAGUACAAAGAAUCAAAUGAAUCAUCUUAUAUAUAAGGACCUUUUCAAUCCAGUGAAGAUAAAUGAACAACAAAGCAAACAGUCUGAAGACAAUGAAGAAGAUAUCAAUUCCAUGAAGCGUAAUGACUUCGAUAUUUCUCUGUUAGCUCCCAGUACUAGUAGAAAUAUCAAUAAAAUGAAGUCUGCGGAACAAGAUGAUAACCCACCAGCCUUUCAGUGUGAUCAUUGCCAGCCCCUGGGACAAUAUGUGAAGACAAGUUGCCCACAAAAAAUGGACAAAUCAAAAAUGGAUAAACCACUUCAUUUAUGUACCUGCCUUGGAAUAUCAACAGACACUGAAUACCAUAGUAUUCUGACUUCAAGUCAGGCAGCUUUACUUUCAGGAAGGCAUGCUGUAGAACAAAAUUCAAUUCCGAUCAAACCUGCACAAGAGCAAGGAGUGAAAAUGUAUGAAUCUUGUAGGGAUCUUGAAACAGUAUUGGAUCCGUUUAUCCAGAUAAAUGAAAAUGGUAGUGUAUAUCCUGACCUGGAUGAAUUAAAUUGUAGACAUACUUAUGAGAGCUCUCUUGAACUUUUUGAUUCUAAUAGUCCUGAAAAAGAGAACUUAAUUUUCGAAGAGACCCACUUUCAGGAAAAUGUUGGCCUGUCCACACACCAUUCACCUGAUAAUAAACCUAAUAAUGAGUUAUGUUAUACUGAACAAUCAAAGACAGAAACACUGUGUUUUCAAAGAGACUUGUCUGCAAAAAGGCCCCGAACAUUUGAAGAUAUCUCACCUGCAAUUCACUUUAGAAGCGGAAACGAGAAGCGGUCAAAGAAAGCCAUGUCAGCUUAUUCUUCCAUAUGUCCAGUUCCACAAGUAAAGGAGCAGAACAUUUUAAGAAGCAAAACAGUUCAAAAGUACUCAUCAUUGCUUAAAGAAUGUAUCAGCAAAGGUCAAAAAUACACUGUCCUAGUCACAGUACUGCACCCUUGCCAUGUGAAAGAAAUAAAGAUCAAGUCAGGAACUAAAUUACCCUCAAGGGUCCCAUUAGCCACAGUUGUCGUUUUUGAUCAAUCAGAAAUACAACGGAAGGUGGUGUUAUGGAGAGCAGCAGCAUUUUGGUCACUGACAGUCUUUCCUGGGGACAUCAUUCUACUUACAGAUGUCAUUCUAUAUGAAAACUCCUGGACUGGGGAAACAAUGCUACAAUCAACUUUUACCACUCAGUUACUCAAUCUUGGAAGCUGCUCCAAUAUUCAUCCAAAUAAAUUUUCCCAUAUAGUGGCUGUCAAUAUUCUCCAGGAUUUGUUGACAUAUGUGUCUUCAAAACAUGCCUAUCUGGAAACUCUCCCCCAAAGAAAGAGACAGACUUUGAACAAUAUACAACAUGUUCUACUUGAUGAACUCAGACCAGAUGUAUUGGUGCAUUCUGUCCUGAAAAUUGUUGACCUAACUGUCCUAACAGAAUCUACAUACAGUUUCAAGGGAGAAACACAAAGAAAAAUUGUUUUAACAGUGGAACAAAUCAAGGAUCAGAACUACACCUUGGUGUUAUGGGGGGCUUUAACUGCCCUCUAUCCUCAACUUCAGAGGAAAAGAGACCAUAUCUGGGAAUUUAAAUAUCUGUUUACUAAACACAAUCCUGUCUCUGGUGAACUGGAACUGCACACAACGCCCUGGUCAACCCUGGAGUGUCUCUUUGAUGAUGACCAGAGAGCUGUAAAAUUCAAAGAAAAGUUUGAAAAGGACCUCAGAUUAUUCACGUGUGUGACAACUCUCGCUACACACCUAGAGGAGAAGUGUUCUGGAGUGAUUCAGGUGAAAGUCCAUAUCUCAGAACUGAAAUUUACUGUUGCUUCCUCUCCACAUGAAAUUGUUUUUGAUGCAAGCGUUUCAUUACAGUAUAUAGUCACUUCGCUUGCUCUGAUCACUUAUGUGGGCUGUGCAAAAUGUGGACGUGAACUUCAAGCAGAUGAAAACAAGAUCUACAAACAAUGCAAUCAGUGUUUACCAUCCAAUAAAGUGAAAACAUUCUACAGAGCUUAAUUUCAGCCUGUCCAUGGAAUCUCUUUUCUGUGCUACGGCUUAGCCCUGGGCCAUAUGUUAGCUUCUCGUGUUGCCUACAUUUAGAUAAUACACAAUGCUCGCUUCUGCGUCCUGCUUUCAUGAUACUCUAGGAUUUGAACAACAAAUGGAAUGUUGGGUGGAGUAGAUUCUUUAGCAUCUGUACACACACAUACCCACCAUCUGCUAUAUUUGAAUAAAUAGCUAUAUAACUACAGUAAAUAGAUACGUUCAUCUGUGUGAAAGUGUACUGAGCAUGCCCUGAUCUGACACUGCAUGAUUUGUAAAGUGCAGUAUCAGAUUAACCACAGAAUUGUAUCCUUGAUUAUAUCUAAAUAUUAAAUAGCGAGCGAACAGCAUAUUUUGUGUUUCUUUUGCCUUUUGAUAAUGGGAGAAGUUUCUUUUCAAAACCAGGAGUGACAUACAUUUGCUUUGGAUUUUAAAACCAUCCCAGGCCUAAGAUAACUCUGAGAAGCCACAGAUACAGCAACAUCCAUUAUUUUCAGUCUCUGGCUUGUGAAGAGAACAAACAAUUCUUUAACACUUGCAUAGCCUUUUGUUUGUAUAUAUCAAUAUCUGAACAAAUGUUGCACUCAGUAUGGCAAUAUUUUACUUCAAACUUGUAGCCACAGUGGGACAGCAGGUUAAACUGCUAAACUGCAGAACUUGCUGACCCAAAGGUCGGCGGUUCAAAUCCGUGGACGGGGUGAGCUCCCGUUGUUAGCCCCAGCUUCUGCCAACCUAAUAGUUUGAAAAUAUGCAAAUGUGAGGGUUGUUGUAUGUUUUCCGGGCUGUAUGGCCAUGUUCUAGAAGUACUAUCUCCUGAUGUUUCGCCCACAUCUAUGGCAGGCAUCCUCAGAGGUUGUGAUUUAAAACAUACAACAACCCUGUGAUCCCAGCCAUGAAAGUCUUGCAAAGUCUUUGCAAAUGUGAGUAGAUCAAUAGGUACCACUUCAGCAGGAAAGUAACGGUGCUCCAUGCAGUCAUGCUGGCUACAUGACCUAGGAGACAUCACCGACUGUUCGGCUUAGAAAUGGAGGUGAGCACUACCCCCCAGAGUCAGAUUCGACUAGACUUAAUGCCAAGGGGAAACAUACUUUUUACAGAAUUUUGUAACAUAUAUUGGGUUGAAAGGGUGGGGGGGAACUGAAGCGAAAACUGUGGGAAAUAAUAGGCUUUAUUCCAUUGUUCAGAAGUACAUUUUGAUUGCUUGUUCAGGUCUUAUCAUUAAAUCAAAGCAGUAUGUUAGAAAAAAGAUGCCAGCAGAAUAACAGUGUGUGACAGAAGGCAGUAACAUGCUUAAUUAUCCUAUCUGACUAUUAGAAUCAGAUGAUAAAAUAUAUUAUUAAAAAUGCAGGCAUGACUAUGUCCUUGUUUACUUUUUAGACCAGCACAAAUGAUCAUAGAAGAGGGAGGAUAUGAAAUCUGUGUUCAGGUGACAUCAGAACUGAUUGAGAAAAUAUUCCUCAACAUUCCAGCUGAGUGGCAAAGCAAAACCAUAGAGCCUUCCUUAGAUACCACCUAUGGCAUGAUUG